CACACAUUUUUGACUUGUACCUUGCAUCUUUUUUAUUUAAAACAUCAACAAAUUUGCAACAACUUUCUCUGUAGAAAAUUGUGAUAAAUUUUCAACGGUUUCCGAGGGGUAAAAUCAAUGUUACCCACAACUACAUACACUAUUUUGUAUUCCACUCAAUGUCAUACAUUGAAUAGGUAUAUGUUAAUAAAAGCAAAUCAUUGAGGUUUGAGAAAGUUGAACAAGAGAAAGGUUUCAAUUCUGACAUCACGGUAUAAUGACGCAAAAACAUCAAGUCAAACGUAAAAAUUUCGUAUUGUAUUUCCAAAUAAAAACGUAAAAAUCAAGUUAAAUGCAAAAUUGCAUUAGAAUGGAAAUAUUUUUCAUCUCAAUUGUUAUUUGUGACCGUUAAUGUUGAUGGUGAAGUUAAUGAUUAACAAUCCUGCAUAUUUCCAAUCGUUUUUAUAGAGCUUUCGCGCUUGUGCCAUUAGAAUUUCUCUUCUAAAACGGUCGUCCUGCACAUAAGGGAUACAUCACGGAUUGUCAUCCUUCAUGUGACCAGCCGUCGACCAUUGAAAUUGAUUGUAUUAUUCUUAAGAAUAAUAAUAUCUAAUGUUCAACUAAAAAAAGAUGAUGUAUGUUAUAUACACCACAAUAUAUGUGCCGAUUCUUUAAACCAUAAUUUCAUAUCUUUCAAAUUAUCAUUUUAUUAUUCUUUAUUCUAAUAUUAUAACCACUGAUAUUCAACUGCAAAGUCUUCAAGAUGAGAAGGAAUAAGAAGCAUUCAUCGAGAAAACAGAAUCAGAAAACCCAAGUGUUGUGCCAGGAAUGGAUAUGAUCAAUCUUGCAAACAUUGCACGUCAGCUGAGUGAUGAAGAAGAUCAAUCUCGCAAACAUUGCACGUCAGCUGAAUGAUGAAGAAGAUCAAUCUCGCAAACAUUGCACGUCAGCUGAGUGAUGAAGAAGAUCAAUCUCGCAAACAUUGCACGUCAGCUGAGUGAUGAAGAAGAUCAAUCUCGCAAACAUUACACGUCAGCUGAAUGAUGAAGAAGAUCAAUCUCGCAAACAUUGCACGUCAGCUGAGUGAUGAGGAAGCACGAAUUUUUGGGAAGAACCUAGGUCUACCGAACGAAGAUAUUGAAAAGUACAUGAGUAUGGCAUUUGGCGCUGUGUGGAUGCUCAGACGAUAUCGCGGUAAACGCCCACAUUUCUCCCAGAAAAACAACAUUAGAAGAGUGCAAGAGGCCAUUGAUCGUCAGGAUCUUGUGCAUCUGAUUCCCACCAGAGGAUGGAAAGAAUAUUACAUGGUACCCAAGGCUGUGGUAACAAAUGAGAGAUUUUAUAUCCCUGAUGAUGCAAAGGAUGACGACGGCACUGAACAUGAAAAAUAUCCUUCUGAAACACCGGUCAUGGACACAAGUGACGUAAAUUCCAAUGUUGAAGUGAUUGCCAGCGAUGAAGAAUAGUAAAAAAUCCAUAAGUUAGAAUAAUACAAUGCGAAUCCUCUACAAAAUGAAAGUUUGAAUAGCAAGGAGUGUGGAUGCAAAUGAAUUAGUAUUAUAUUUCAGCAUAUCCAUGCAUCUGUUAUUUACACUUAUUACUUUUAAUGAUCACUGUCAUGAUCGUGUGCAGGAUUGGACAAAACAAGAUGGCAGACGGCAUUUCCAAACAAAGGUAUCAAGCCCUAGAACUUCAUUCCAUGAGAUGGGUACACUUCGAAUGUGCGAAAUUUGUGGUGAGGAAUUCAAGACCAAUUCUGAAUUUCGUAGGCAUGUAAAAAGGAAACAUCAAUCAGAGAAAUUGUCUUCGUUUGUGACCAGUGCAACACAGGCUUUUGCACAUUAUAAAAGAAACAUGAAGUAAAAAAAAUUACAUUGUUUUCUGAAUACACGAAGUGCAUACAUAUACCAUGGCAGCCGUUUUAUAUAUCCGUUUAUGUGCAUUAUGAAACGAUUAUUUUUACGGCAUUAUGCUUUGUUUUACAGGGAUACUACUAAUCUUUUACAUUGCAUUUUACACAUGUUGAUUUGUUAUUUCAUUGAACCAGAAGUGUUCUUAAUUUUUACUUGUUAUUAAAUAUAUUUCAAUGUU